rnacentral:rRNA from 1 species
AUUGAACGCUGGCGGCAGGCCUAACACAUGCAAGUCGAACGAGCGGCGGACGGGUGAGUAAUGUCUGGGAAACUGCCUGAUGGAGGGGGAUAACUACUGGAAACGGUAGCUAAUACCGCAUACCAUCAGAUGAACCCAGAUGGGAUUAGCUUGUUGGUGGGGUAAAGGCUCACCAAGGCGAAGAUACCUAGCUGGUCUUAGAGGAUGACCAUCCACCUUGGAACUGAGACACGGCCCGUACUCCUACGGGAGGCAGCAGUGGGGAAUAUGGCACAAUGGGCGCAAGCCUGAUGCAGCAAUGCCGCGUGGAUGAAGAAGUCCUUCGGGUUGUAAAGUACUUUCAGCGGGGAGGCGUUACCCGCAGAAGAAGCACCGGCUAACUCCGUGCCAGCAGCCGCGGUAAUAC